UGGGGAAUAUUGCACAAUGGGCGCAAGCCUGAUGCAGCCAUGCCGCGUGUGUGAAGAAGGCCUUCGGGUUGUAAAGCACUUUCAGCGGGGAGGAGGGCGUUAAGGUUAAUAACCUUGGCGAUUGACGUUACCCGCAGAAGAAGCACCGGCUAACUCCGUGCCAGCAGCCGCGGUAAUACGGAGGGUGCAAGCGUUAAUCGGAAUUACUGGGCGUAAAGCGCACGCAGGCGGUCUGUCAAGUCGGAUGUGAAAUCCCCGGGCUCAACCUGGGAACUGCAUUCGAAACUGGCAGGCUAGAGUCUUGUAGAGGGGGGUAGAAUUCCAGGUGUAGCGGUGAAAUGCGUAGAGAUCUGGAGGAAUACCGGUGGCGAAGGCGGCCCCCUGGACAAAGACUGACGCUCAGGUGCGAAAGCGUGGGGAGCAAACAGG
rnacentral:rRNA from 1 species